rnacentral:rRNA from 1 species
AGUGAACGCUGGCGGCGUGCUUAAGACAUGCAAGUCGAACGGCAGUCUUCGGACUGUAGUGGCGCACGGGUGAGUAACGCGUAACUGACCUACCCAAAAGUCGCGGAUAACGAUUCGAAAGAAUCGCUAAUACGUGAUGUGCUGUCAGAUUGUGUUCUGCCAGUAAAGAUUGAUUGCUUUGGGAUGGGGUUGCGUUCCAUCAGCUAGUUGGUGGGGUAAAGGCCCACCAAGGCGACGACGGAUAGCCGGCCUGCGAGGGUGGCCGGCCACAGGGGCACUGAGACACGGGUCCCACUCCUACGGGAGGCAGCAGUUAGGAAUCUUCCACAAUGGGCGAAAGCCUGAUGGAGCGACGCCGCGUGAGGGAUGAAGGUCUUCGGAUCGUGAACCUCUGAAUCAGGGACGAAAGACACUUCGGUGGGAUGACGGUACCUGAGUAAUAGCACCGGCUAACUCCGUGCCAGCCGCCGCAGUAAAAC